GCCCGAUAACCUUCCUCUAGCAACCGCGCAACAUCGGAUCGAGCUAUCCUCGGGUCCCUAACCUCGGUGGUCGUCACCAUCGGGGCAGGUGGUGGACUGGCGGCGUGGACGUGGUGCCUGGCGGGGGAGGGGAGUGCCGCACUGUGAGCCUCGCUCCGGCGGGUUGCGCGCUCGCCUCGCCGGUACAGGAGUGGGCAGGCAGUGGUCGCCAUGGCGCGGCCUGGGUGCCCGCUGUUCUCCUUGCGCACAUGGUGCCACGGCUGGAUCCGCAGCACCACCGCCCGCCGCCCGUGCCGGCGCUCCCACAGCCACGUUCCCGUCCACCGUCGCCCGCACCCGCCUGCGCUCAUCCAUAGCGGCGUUCUUAAUGGCUUCAGUGACCACGCCGCCUCGGCUGCGACCCAGGCCUGCUUGGCCGUCGGAUGGAUGGAUACCGGCACUACAGGGCACGGACUUCAUGCUCGUGCCGACGGAGUUCAUCCUCGAUGCCCUGGCUGCGACCCAUAUUGAUUGGCCACCGGCUGGAAGGGGACGUCCUGCUCCUCCCGACUAAGCUUGAUCGAUGUGGGGCGGUGGUACAGCCUGGUGUUUAGCAGGACCACAUGAGCGGUGACUAGCAUCCAGUAGGAGGCAGCAAGAAGCAGUGAAAACUCUGAGCUAGCUGCUAGCAAUGCACCCCCUCCGCUCUCAUCUAAGUACAUGGAUUUUCAAUGGCCAAACUACUCUCUUGUUUCUUUCUCUAGCGUUUCCAGUUUUCACUAACAAUCCGUAUUUGGUAAACCGUGAACCAUGUUCAUGAGUAUCUGCCCACAACCUGUUUGAUGAUAUGCAUACGAAGGAUUGAGAUA